UACGAAGGGUGCAAACGUUAAUCUGAAUUACUGGGCGUAAAGCGUGCGCAGGCGGUUUUGUAAGCCAGAUGUGAAAUCCCCGGGCUUAACCUGGGAAUGGCAUUUGGGACUGCAAGGCUUGAGUGCGGCAGAGGAGACUGGAAUUCCUGGUGUAGCAGUGAAAUGCGUAGAUAUCAGGAGGAAUACCGAUGGCGAAGGCAGGUCUCUGGGCUGACACUGACGCUCAUGCACGAAAGCGUGGGGAGCAAACAGG
rnacentral:rRNA from 1 species